AAUAGCUAAAAGGGUGUAAAAAUGAGACCCAAGAUUGUCUUUCUAUCUUCGUUCGUUUCCAAUCUUCGAGCGUACUGUCGAGUGUCGAGCCGACUGUCGCGAGUGUGUGUAAUGUCGACAAGAAUGUUGACGUUUAAUUCAGCUCGUCGGAAGCAACGAAUACGCGCCGUGGUAGCCUCGUGAAUAAUGUCAAUGGAUUCCUCGUAACUUAUUGCACGCAGUCGUAAUAAUGUUACGCACUGUGGAAUUCACAGUAAACUUGUAGACUUCAUGAACGAACAAUCAUCGUACGCGCGAGGGCUUUGGCUCGAACUGUGACGCGCCAUAUUGGUUUAAGAGAAUUGUUCAUAUUAGUGAGCUUUGGGUGAAUCAAUUUUAUUGCAAAUGCACAUAGUAUAAUAAAGUUCCAACAAUGGAAGAGACUAAAAUCAUAUAUCACAUUGACGACGAAGAAACUCCUUACUUAGUGAAGCUUACCAUCUCACCGGAAAGGGUCACUCUUGCCGACUUCAAAAAUGUCUUGAAUCGACCGAAUUAUAAGUAUUUCUUCAAAUCUAUGGACGAUGAUUUUGGUGUGGUGAAAGAAGAGAUUGUAGAUGAUGAUGCCCAUCUUCCGUGUUUUAAUGGACGAGUUGUUUCUUGGUUGGUUUCUGCUGAAGGCAGUAAUGUGUCAGAUGGUGCUUCACAAUGCACAGAUUCAGUAGCACAUAGUGAGGCAAAACAUGAUCGUGUUGAUCAUGUGACACCUGGUCACACAAAUCGUGGUCCACCUCCUUUAUCACAUGAUGAUACUUUAACUGAAACUGAAAGUAUUACAAGUAGUCGACAAGGGCAUCAUUUACAUAAAAGUUCAAGACAUCAUUCAGAUAAAUAUGAGAAAUAUAAUAAAUAUAAUGGACUUCGUAUAAAUGGUCAUUCAAAACACAGAUCAGGCCAUGGUUAUGAGACUGCUUCUAUUUUAAGUUCAGAUUUAGAGACAACAACAUUUUUAGAAUCAGAUGAUGAUGCCAGUAGCCGUAUAACAUCGACUACAGGCAGACAUACCAAUAUGAGUAGUACAGUUGACAGAGCAACUUUAGAGCGGCGUAGACCACAGAGAAGAAGGCGUCAUAGAUUGCCACCUAUGUCUAGAACAUCAUCUUUUAGCAGUAUCACAGACAGUACAAUGUCCUUAAACAUCAUAACAGUUUCAUUGAAUAUGGAUACUGUUAAUUUCCUUGGGAUUAGUAUUGUUGGACAAAGUAACAAAGGUGGAGAUGGUGGCAUUUAUGUAGGUUCAAUAAUGAAAGGGGGUGCAGUUGCUUUAGAUGGGCGAAUAGAACCUGGUGAUAUGAUCCUUCAAGUAAAUGACAUUAAUUUUGAAAAUAUGUCUAAUGAUGAAGCAGUUAAAGUACUACGUGAAGUAGUUCAGAAACCAGGACCAAUCAAAUUAGUUGUUGCAAAGUGCUGGGAUCCUAAUCCUAAAGGCUAUUUUACAAUACCACGUACAGAACCUGUACGGCCUAUAGAUCCUGGUGCUUGGGUAGCACAUACAGCUGCUAUAAGGGGGGAAGGUUUUCCUCCACGCCCGCCAAGUGCUACAACAUUAACAUCAACAUCAAGCAGUCUUGCAAGUACACUGCCAGAUACAGAACGACCAUUAGAAGAACUUCAUCUUACGGUGAAUACGGAUAUGCCAACAAUAGUGCGAGCAAUGGCUCGACCUGAUUCAGGAUUGGAAAUUCGUGAUCGUAUGUGGCUUAAAAUAAUAAUACCAAAUGCAUUUAUUGGAGCAGAUGUUGUGGAUUGGCUUAAUACUCACGUAGAAGGAUUUAUUGAUCGACGUGAUGCAAGAAAAUACGCAUCUCUUAUGCUAAAAGCUGGUUUUAUUAGGCAUACAGUAAAUAAGAUAACAUUUUCUGAGCAAUGUUACUAUAUAUUUGGUGAUUUGUGUUCAGCUAUGAGUAGCAUGAAACUAGAUUGCGAUACAGUCGGACCAUUGCCUCCGCCGAAUGCCUGGGACAUGCCUUAUUCAGGAACAUAUGCACCUCAUUCUGCAACUGGUUAUAGUCCAAUGCCAUUUAAUUUCACUAAUGAACCAACUGUAUAUGGUUAUCACCGAGAAGAAAGUGUUCAUAGUGGAUCAGGCGGCAGUAGUGCAGGUAGUGAACACAUUUGCAAAGAACCUAUUCACGAUUUGAAAUCCUGUUCUUCAGCAUCUGAAUCUGAAUUACAUAUUCCAUCAGUGCCAACUAUGCCAAAUAAGAAUUCUGGCAAUGGAAAUGGUUCAAAUGGAAAGAGAUCUAAUGGUAGUCGCAGUCGUUCCAGUGGUUCUGAACAAUCUGUGCAGACAGGAACUGGUUCAGGGAAUCAACAGAACCAACAAGACUUAUCUGGAUUGUCUACGACAAUGGGGCAGCUAUUUCUUUAAAAUCGAGAGGAUAUUGUUUCGAAAUGUUAAAAGAUUCACUAAUUAUUACUUUUGAAAUUCAUUUUUUAAGAAUAAUUUGUUUUUAAAAAAAGAAAAACAAAAGAAAACAUAUGUAUAUAUAAAAAGAAUAUAUGCAAUACAAAUAUUAUUGUAUAUUGAGUAAUUAUUAGUGAAUCAUUUAAAAAACAUUGUCCAUGCGUAAAGGACAAAUUUUUAUUGUAUUCCUACUAAUUCAAGUUAUUUGAUGAUGACAAAAAAAUUGUUCACAAUUAUGUUAUGUGGUAUUGCAUCACAGGUUCGACAAUAUGUAAAUAGAUCGAAUUAUGCUCAUAUUAAAUGUGCCAUCUUAUCAGUGUUAGAAAAUACUGAAGAAACUGCGACUUAUAAUUUAUAUAUACAAGCUUCCCAGGUGUAUGCAUUUCUUUAUUGUUUAUGUUCAUUGAUGUCAUUUUAUCUUACGAAUUAUUACAAAUUAUUAUGAAUUAUCUUCUGCAUCUCACACACACAAGCUUAUUUAAUUUCAACAAACAUUUGUUACAUUUAAUUGCGUCUUGCCGUUGCGUUAUUAUUAUAUAAAUUUUUAUUUAGUAUAUCACAUUGUAUCGAAAUAAUAUUCUUUUUAUAAAAUGCCGCUAGAAAAUAUUUGCAUUCGAUAUGCACAUAAAUGCAUUGGCGUUAUAACAUUAUAAGAAUAAUUUCAAAUGUGGUGCAAUGUUUCUUUUGAACAUUUCACAUUGAGAAAAAAGAAAAAGAACAAUUUAAUAAUUUUUAUUAUUUUUUUGUAUCGAUUUUACUACUUUUUAUAUUUACAUGAACUAUUUACAUUGCUUUCUUAAUAUUUAUAAAACAUAUAUUAUAGAAUAUUAUUGAUGUUUUUUAUAUAACAUGAACCAUGUUUGAAAAUUUCGUUGAUUAAUCAUUCGUGCAAUUUUCCAAAAAUAACAAUUAAAAUUUUUUUACUUUUCUUUUUCUUCGGCAUCUUAUAAUUAUCCAUAAAUAGAUCCACUUUUUAUAUAUGUACUGUCUCUAGAGAAUAAUAUAACGGUAUUAUAUAUCGCAAAAAAUUUUUUACCAGUUUGAUAAAGCACAUAAUAUAUUAUAUAGCAAAGAUUUCAUUGGAAAAUUGCGCACUGGCAUUUAAUCAUUAAUUUCAAUGAACGUUUUCAUUUUGCUGCAAAUAAUUAUGUAAUUCAAUAUUUAAGAAGGUAGUUUACAAAACUGGUUUACCGAUAUCAUUACGGUAUCAAUUAUUAUAUAUUAUUCUGUAAAAUAUAUACAUAUUUUAUGUUGCAGACAGGUUGUACAGUAUGUUUGAGAAAUGCAAAAUUAGUAUUUACAAGAUGACGCAAUUUCACCAUCAUCUGAAUGAUAAGAAAUGCAAAUUUUAAAAAAUUAUAAAAAAAAAAAAAAUAAAAAUAUGAAUUUUGCGAUUCACAGACAUACUUUUAACUUGGUUUAUUUUAUUUUCUAUUUAUUGUGCCGCUCUAAAAGGACGUGCUGCUUUCUGUCUAACAAAUGACUCAAUUUCCUUUGCAACUUACGUUGUGCGCAUGUGGAUUACACCGUGUCAAAGACGUAAUCGAGUCAUUUUUGUGCCUUGUGCUGCGCUGGCGAUUGAUGCAGAGCGGCGUAUGCACGAGGAAACUCGUACACAGACUAGCGAUUUGGACAACAAUAGCAGAGACAAUAUCUAUGAAGAAGACAUUUUGGAGUACCAGUUUCUGCACAAGUGAAGAUACUUGUUAAUGCAAUAUGUAUACGUAACAAUGGUAAUAGGAGUUAAAAAAAAAGGAAAUUAAGAUAUAUUUCCACUUGAUCUUGAAUUAAGUGGAUGGAAGUAGCAAACGCGAGACACAUAUAUAUAUAUAUAUAUAUUUAUAUAUAUAUUUAAUAGACGAAUUUUGAUAAAGCGUCAUA